rnacentral:sRNA from 1 species
CCCUAGCCCAGAUGGUAGCGGCAUCCUUUUUGUUUUUUCUUACUCUUCUUUUAAAACAAAAUAACGAAAUGUUCUUAGAAUUCGACAAAACAAAAAGAUAUAGUGGACAGCUGGACACGAG